rnacentral:rRNA from 1 species
GAUGAACGCUAGCGGCAGGCCUAACACAUGCAAGUCGAGGGGUAGAGGAAGCUUGCUUCCUUGAGACCGGCGCACGGGUGCGUAACGCGUAUGCAAUCUACCUUUUACAGAGGGAUAGCCCAGAGAAAUUUGGAUUAAUACCUCAUAGUAUUUUCGAAUGGCAUCAUUUGAUUAUUAAAGUUCCAACGGUAAAAGAUGAGCAUGCGUCCUAUUAGCUAGAUGGUAAGGUAACGGCUUACCAUGGCAACGAUAGGUAGGGGUCCUGAGAGGGCGGUCCCCCACACUGGUACGGAUACACGGACCAGACUCCUACGGGAGGCAGCAGUGAGGAAUAUUGGACAAUGGGCGCAAGCCUGAUCCAGCCAUGCCGCGUGCAGGAAGACGCAUCUAUGGUGUGUAAACUGCUUUUGUACGGGAAGAAACACUCCCUCGUGAGGGAGCUUGACGGUACCGUAAGAAUAAGGAUCGGCUAACUCCGUGCCAGCCGCCGCGGUAAGAC